GACGAACGCUGGCGGCGUGCUUAACACAUGCAAGUCGAACGGAAAGGCCCCUUUGGGGGUCCUCGAGUGGCGAACGGGUGAGUAACACGUGAGUAGCCUGCCCUUGACUUCGGGAUAACUUCAGGAAACUGGGGCUAAUACCGGAUAGGAAUCCUUGCUGCAUGGUGGGGGUUGGAAAGCUUCGGCGGUUUUGGAUGGACUCGCGGCUUAUCAGCUUGUUGGUGGGGUAGUGGCUUACCAAGGCUUUGACGGGUAGCCGGCCUGAGAGGGCGACCGGCCACAUUGGGACUGAGAGACGGCCCAGACUCCUACGGGAGGCAGCAGUGGGGAAUAUUGCACAAUAGGCGGAAGCCUGAUGCAGCAACGCCGCGUGCGGGAUGACGGCCUUCGGGUUGUAAACCGCUUUCAGCAGGGGCGAAGCUUGUGGUGACGGUACCUGCAGAAGAAGCACCGGCUAACUACGUG
rnacentral:rRNA from 1 species